rnacentral:snRNA from 1 species
AGAAAGAAUAAAGAAAGAAGAAG